GAGAAACCUGAUCAUCAGGGUGGUGCUGGUCCACUUCAUCCUGAUCACGGGGACCAUUUUCCUCUACUUCUACUGUCGGGCCAGUAGGGGGCGCUUCAGACUGAAGAUACGGAAGACAGGAUGAGAUGCACGACACAGUCUACGACCACAGUCUACGUCCACAUCCACGUCCAUAAUCCACAUCCAUAUCCAUGUCCACGUUCAUCUCCACAUCCACAUCCACAGUUAAACAUGAAGAAGAAGAGUUGUUUGUGUCUUUGUCUCAGUUCCUUUCCUGGAGUCAUGGUCCAGUCUAAAUGCCUUUCAUGCUCUCUGUACAUAUAUAUACUCAUUUUACUCUGUGUUCAUUAUCAUUAGAAUAGAAUAGAAUAGAAUAGAAUAGAAUAGAAUAGAAUAGAAUAGAAUAGAAUAGAAUAGAAUAGAAUAGAUCUUUGUCACUGUCACAGCAACAAUGAAAAUUUAUCAGCUCUGUUCUGCAAGAUAAAAAAAAAAAACAUGACUUUGUAUUUACGCCUCCUGAUUCCUGUCCAAUGAACAGUUCUUCAAUUAAAGUCUGUGUGUGAACAGUU